UUUUUUUUAAUAGUAAAUACGAGGGAGGGAAAAACAACUUUUUUCGGUUUUUUUUUCGCUUUAUAUUUCAACAUAAUCUUCAUCAAGAUUAAUAAAUUUUUCAUAACAGUAAUCUAAUGCAGUGAUAUCAUUAUUAUAGUCCGAUUCAUCAAGUCCUUCAAAAUACUCAUUUGCACCGUCGAUGACUUCCUCGUUGCUCUCAAAUUUUUAACUCCAAGCCACUUUAUAAGGUUAGGAAAC
rnacentral:misc_RNA from 1 species